rnacentral:rRNA from 1 species
GUACACGCUGUGACUAGCAUAUCAAUAAGCGGAGGAAAAGAAACUAACAAGGAUUCCCUCAGUAACGGCGAGUGAAGCGGGAAGAGCUCAAAUUUGAAUCUUAAAGGUCUACCUUGCACGAAUUGUAGUUUAAAGAAGUGUUUUCUGCUGACGAUCUGGUAGAUAAGUUCUUUGGAAUAGGACAUCAUAGAGGGUGAGAAUCCCGUAUUUGACCAUUAUUUUCAGCUUUGUGAUACACUUUCAAAGAGUCGGAUUGUUUGGGAAUGCAGUCCCAAAAUGGGAUGGUAAAUUUCUAUCUAAGGCUAAAUAUUGGCGAGAGACCGAUAGCGAACAAGUACCGUGAGGGAAAGAUGAAAAGAACUUUGAAAAGAGAGUUAAACAGUACGUGAAAUUGUCAAAAGGGAAGCGUUUAACACCAGUGUUGUUUUCUGAAAAUCAACCUCUGUUAGCUUUAUGCAUGUUUGUUUAGACCUAAUCAGCUAUCUUUCAUGUUCUAUUGUUUGCAGUGGUGCACUUUUCAGUUUACAGGUCAACAUCAGUUUUUUUUACCGUAAAAAAGUUAAAGAAAGGUAGCUCAUGGCUCCGGUCGUGAGUGUUAUAGUCUUUUUCCUAUGCGGUAGGAGAGACUGAGGUCUGCAGUGUAGGCUAUUUGGCUAGAUACUCAGGUGCUAUGUGAUACCAUUUCAUAAACAACUUGUUGAUUAUGUUUUGUCUAUUGCAUACUCGCUUGUACUAUCAUACCUACGCUUAGGAUGUUGAGUAGCGACAUACGCAC